GAGCGCUAUGCGAAUGUUCUUGGCCUGCUAAGCCAUAGAACCUGUGGUUUAACUCCAUGGAGCGCCCG
rnacentral:tRNA from 1 species